rnacentral:rRNA from 1 species
UCUUCCGCAAUGGACGAAAGUCUGACGGAGCAACGCCGCGUGAGUGGUGAAGGUUUUCGGAUCGUAAAACUCUGUUGUUAGGGAAGAACAAGUACCGUUCGAAUAGGGCGGUACCUUGACGGUACCUAACCAGAAAGCCACGGCUAACUACGUGCCAGCAGCCGCGGUAGUACGUAGGUGGCAAGCGUUGCCCGGUAUUCUUGGGCGUAAAGCGCGCGCAGGCGGUUUCUUAAGUCUGAUGUGAAAGCCCCCGGCUCAACCGGGGAGGGUCAUUGGAAACUGGGGAACUUGAGUGCAGAAGAGGAGAGUGGAAUUCCACGUGUAGCGGUGAAACGCGUAGAGAUGUGGAGGAACACCAGCGGCGAAGGCGACUCUCUGGUCUGUAACUGACGCUGAGGCGCGAAAGCGUGGGGAGCGAACAG